rnacentral:rRNA from 1 species
UACGAAGGGGGCUAGCGUUGCUCGGAAUGACUGGGCGUAAAGGGCGCGUAGGCGGAUGGCACAGUCAGAUGUGAAUUCCCGGGCUUAACCUGGGGGCUGCAUUUGAUACGUGUUGUCUAGAGUGAGGAAGAGGGUUGUGGAAUUCCCAGUGUAGAGGUGAAAUUCGUAGAUAUUGGGAAGAACACCGGUGGCGAAGGCGGCAACCUGGUCCUUGACUGACGCUGAGGCGCGAAAGCGUGGGGAGCAAACAGG